GACGAACGCUGGCGGCGUGCCUAAUACAUGCAAGUCGAACGCAGUGGGGACGGGUGAGAAACACGUGGGUAAACUCCAAUCAGAGGGGAAAACCCUUGGAAACAGGUGCUAAACCGAUACUGAUGGAUGGACUCGCGGUGCAUUAGCUAGUUGGUGAGGUAACGGCUCACCAAGGCCACGAUGCAUAGCCGACCUGCGAGGGUGAUCUGCCACACUGGGACUGAGACACGGCCCAGACUCCUACGGGAGGCAGCAGUAGGGAAUCUUCGGCAAUGGACGAAAGUCUGACCGAGCAACGCCGCGUGAGUGAAGAAGGUUUUCGGAUCGUAAAACUCUGUUGUUAGAGAAGCGGUAUCUAACCAGAAAGCCACGGCUAACUACGUGCCAGCAGCCGCGGUAAUUC
rnacentral:rRNA from 1 species